rfam:Tauraco erythrolophus contig85690, whole genome shotgun sequence.
GCAACGGCUCUUCUGAGAGCCACUGCCAUGGAAGAUUGCAGUUUGU